rnacentral:rRNA from 2 species
AUUAAUUUGAGAGUUUGAUCCUGGCUCAGGACGAACGCUGGCGGCGUGCCUAAUACAUGCAAGUCGAACGAACUCUGGUAUUGAUUGGUGCUUGCAUCAUGAUUUACAUUUGAGUGAGUGGCGAACUGGUGAGUAACACGUGGGAAACCUGCCCAGAAGCGGGGGAUAACACCUGGAAACAGAUGCUAAUACCGCAUAACAACUUGGACCGCAUGGUCCAAGUUUGAAAGAUGGCUUCGGCUAUCACUUUUGGAUGGUCCCGCGGCGUAUUAGCUAGAUGGUGGGGUAACGGCUCACCAUGGCAAUGAUACGUAGCCGACCUGAGAGGGUAAUCGGCCACAUUGGGACUGAGACACGGCCCAAACUCCUACGGGAGGCAGCAGUAGGGAAUCUUCCACAAUGGACG